UACCAGCACCCCGAGUGGUCGGGACGUUUAUUGGGCCUAAAGCAUCCGUAGCCGGUUCUACAAGUCUUCCGUUAAAUCCAUCUGCUUAACAGAUGGGCUGCGGAAGAUACUAUAGAGCUAGGAGGCGGGAGAGGCAAGCGGUACUCGAUGGGUAGGGGUAAAAUCCGUUGAUCCAUUGAAGACCACCAGUGGCGAAGGCGGCUUGCCAGAACGCGCUCGACGGUGAGGGAUGAAAGCUGGGGGAGCAAACCGG
rnacentral:rRNA from 1 species